AUGAACGCUGGCGGCGUGCCUAAUACAUGCAAGUCGAACGCUUCACUUCGGUGAAGAGUGGCGAACGGGUGAGUAAUACAUAAGUAACCUGGCAUCUACAGGGGGAUAACUGAUGGAAACGUCAGCUAAGACCGCAUAGGUGUAGAGAUCGCAUGAACUCUAUAUGAAAAGUGCUACGGGACUGGUAGAUGAUGGACUUAUGGCGCAUUAGCUUGUUGGUAGGGUAACGGCCUACCAAGGCGACGAUGCGUAGCCGACCUGAGAGGGUGACCGGCCACACUGGGACUGAGACACGGCCCAGACUCCUACGGGAGGCAGCAGUAGGGAAUUUUCGGCAAUGGGGGAAACCCUGACCGAGCAACGCCGCGUGAAGGAAGAAGUAAUUCGUUAUGUAAACUUCUGUCAUAGAGGAAGAACGGUGGAUAUAGGGAAUGAUAUCCAAGUGACGGUACUCUAUAAGAAAGCCACGGCUAACUACGUGCCAGCAGCCGCGGUAAUACGUAGGUGGCGAGCGUUAUCCGGAAUUAUUGGGCGUAAAGAGGGAGCAGGCGGCACUAAGGGUCUGUGGUGAAAGAUCGAAGCUUAACUUCGGUAAGCCAUGGAAACCGUAGAGCUAGAGUGUGUGAGAGGAUCGUGGAAUUCCAUGUGUAGCGGUGAAAUGCGUAGAUAUAUGGAGGAACACCAGUGGCGAAGGCGACGAUCUGGCGCAUAACUGACGCUCAGGCCCGAAAGAGUGGGGAGCAAAUAGGAUUAGAUACCCUAGUAGUCCACGCCGUAAACGAUGAGUACUAAGUGUUGGGUGUCAAAGCUCAGUGCUGCAGUUAACGCAAUAAGUACUCCGCCUGAGUAGUACGUUCGCAAGAAUGAAACUCAAAGGAAUUGACGGGGGCCCGCACAAGCGGUGGAGCAUGUGGUUUAAUUCGAAGCAACGCGAAGAACCUUACCAGGUCUUGACAUCGAUCUAAAGGCUCCAGAGAUGGAGAGAUAGCUAUAGAGAAGACAGGUGGUGCAUGGUUGUCGUCAGCUCGUGUCGUGAGAUGUUUGGUUAAGUCCAGCAACGAGCGCAACCCCUGUUGCCAGUUACCAGCACGUGAAGGUGGGGACUCUGGCGAGACUGCCGGUGACAAGCCGGAGGAAGGCGGGGAUGACGUCAAAUCAUCAUGCCCCUUAUGACCUGGGCUACACACGUGCUACAAUGGACAGAGCAGAGGGAAGCGAAGCCGCGAGGUGGAGCGAAACCCAUAAAACUGUUCUCAGUUCGGACUGCAGUCUGCAACUCGACUGCACGAAGAUGGAAUCGCUAGUAAUCGCGAAUCAGCAUGUCGCGGUGAAUACGUUCUCGGGCCUUGUACACACCGCCCGUCACACCAUGAGAGUCGGUAACACCCGAAGCCGGUGGCCUAACCGCAAGGAAGGAGCUGUCUAAGGUGGGACUGAUGAUUGGGGUG
rnacentral:rRNA from 1 species